rnacentral:rRNA from 1 species
CCUACGGGUGGCAGCAGUGAGGAAUAUUGGUCAAUGGACGAGAGUCUGAACCAGCCAAGUAGCGUGAAGGAUGACUGCCCUAUGGGUUGUAAACUUCUUUUAUAAAGGAAUAAAACGAGGCACGUGUGCCUUUUUGCAUGUACUUUAUGAAUAAGGAUCGGCUAACUCCGUGCCAGCAGCCGCGGUAAUACGGAGGAUCCGAGCGUUAUCCGGAUUUAUUGGGUUUAAAGGGAGCGUAGAUGGGUUGUUAAGUCAGUUGUGAAAGGUUGCGGCUCAACCGUAAAAUUGCAAUUGAUACUGGCAGUCUUGAGUACAGUUGAGGUAGGCGGAAUUCGUGGUGUAGCGGUGAAAUGCUUAGAUAUCACGAAGAACCCCGAUUGCGAAGGCAGCUUACUAAACUGUGACUGACAUUGAUGCUCGAAAGUGUGGGUAUCAAACAGGAUUAGAUACCCUAGUAGUC